CAGUAGCGUAUAUUAAAGUUGUUGCAGUUAAAAAGCUCGUAGUUGGACUUCUGGUUUGGUGCGCUCGGCCCGCUCCCUUUAGGGAUGUGAGUGUUGACGCGCGCCUUCCAUCUUUGUACAGGACCUCUCUGCCCUUCAUUGGGACUGGAUUGGCGAUGUGCAUCUUUUACUUUGAAAAAUUAGAGUGUUUAAAGCAGGCUUGUGCUAUGAAUACAUUAGCAUGGAAUAAUAAGAUAGGACUGUAGUGCUAUUUUGUUGGUUUGCGUACUAUGGUAAUGAUUAAUAGGGAUAGUUGGGGGUAUUCAUAUUCAAUUGUCAGAGGUGAAAUUCUUGGAUUUAUGGAAGAUGAACUACUGCGAAAGCAUUUACCAAGGAUGUUUUCAUUAAUCAAGAACGAAAGUUAGGGGAUCGAAGAUGAUCAGAUACCAU
rnacentral:rRNA from 1 species